AGGCUGUAUAAUUCAGUACUGCUCUGCUCUGCUCAGCAGUACUGAAUCAUACAGCCAAUAG
rnacentral:precursor_RNA from 1 species